AGGAAUUAGACCUUCCACUA
rnacentral:tRNA from 1 species